rnacentral:rRNA from 1 species
AGUGAACGCUGGCGGUAGGCCUAACACAUGCAAGUCGAACGGCAGCACAGUAAGAGCUUGCUCUUACGGGUGGCGAGUGGCGGACGGGUGAGGAAUACAUCGGAAUCUACUUUUUCGUGGGGGAUAACGUAGGGAAACUUACGCUAAUACCGCAUACGACCUACGGGUGAAAGCAGGGGAUCUUCGGACCUUGCGCGAUUGAAUGAGCCGAUGUCGGAUUAGCUAGUUGGCGGGGUAAAGGCCCACCAAGGCGACGAUCCGUAGCUGGUCUGAGAGGAUGAUCGGCCACACUGGAACUGAGACACGGUCCAGACUCCUACGGGAGGCAGCAGUAGGGAAUAUUGGACAAUGGGCGCAAGCCUGAUCCAGCCAUACCGCGUGAGUGAAGAAGGCCUUCGGGUUGUAAAGCUCUGUUGUUGGGAAAGAAAAGCUGCAGAUUAAUACCCCGCUGUUCUGACGGUACCCAAAGAAUAAGCACCGGCUAACUUCGUG